rnacentral:rRNA from 1 species
CAGUCGCCGCGGGAAUACGGAGGGCGCGAGCGUUACCCGGAUUUACUGGGCGUAAAGGGCGUGUAGGCGGCCUGGGGCGUCCCAUGUGAAAGGCCACGGCUCAACCGUGGAGGAGCGUGGGAUACGCUCAGGCUAGAGGGUGGGAGAGGGUGGUGGAAUUCCCGGAGUAGCGGUGAAAUGCGCAGAUACCGGGAGGAACGCCGAUGGCGAGGGCAGCCACCUGGUCCACUUCUGACGCUGAGGCGCGAAAGCGUGGGGAGCAAACCGGAUUAGAUACCCCAGUAGUCCCUGUCUCUUAUAA